rnacentral:rRNA from 1 species
GACGAACGCUGGCGGCGUGCUUAACACAUGCAAGUCUACGAGAAAGGAGUAGCAAUAUUCCGAGUAAAGUGGCGCAAGGGUGAGUAACACGUAAGCAAUCUGCCCAUAGAAGUGGAAUAACGCAGAGAAAUUUGCGCUAAUACCGCAUAAUGCAGCGGCACCGCAUGGUGAUGUUGUUAAAGUAUAAUUUACGUCUAUGGAUGAGCUUGCGUCCGAUUAGCUAGUUGGUAGGGUAAUGGCCUACCAAGGCAACGAUCAGUAGCUGGUCUGAGAGGAUGAUCAGUCACACUGGAACUGAGACACGGUCCAGACUCCUACGGGAGGCUG